rnacentral:rRNA from 1 species
CUACGGGUUGCAGCAGUGGGGAAUAUUGCACAAUGGGGGGAACCCUGAUGCAGCAACGCCGCGUGGAGGAUGACACAUUUCGGUGCGUAAACUCCUUUUAUAUAAGAAGAUAAUGACGGUAUUAUAUGAAUAAGCACCGGCUAACUCCGUGCCAGCAGCCGCGGUAAUACGGGGGGUGCAAGCGUUACUCGGAAUCACUGGGCGUAAAGAGCAUGUAGGCUGGUUUGUAAGUUGGAAGUGAAAUCCUAUGGCUUAACCAUAGAACUGCUUCCAAAACUACUUACCUAGAGUAUGGGAGAGGUAGGUGGAAUUUCUGGUGUAGGGGUAAAAUCCGUAGAGAUCAGAAGGAAUACCGAUUGCGAAGGCGAUCUACUGGAACAUUACUGACGCUCAGAUGCGAAAGCGUGGGGAGCAAACAGGAUUAGAUACCCGAGUAGUC